rnacentral:rRNA from 1 species
AACGAACGCUGGCGGCAGGCCUAACACAUGCAAGUCGAGCGAGGACUUCGGUCCUAGCGGCGGACGGGUGAGUAACGCGUGGGAACGUGCCCUUUGCUUCGGAAUAGCCCUGGGAAACUGGGAGUAAUACCGGAUGAGCCCUUUGGGGGGAAAGAUUUAUCGGCGAAGGAUCGGCCCGCGUUGGAUUAGGUAGUUGGUGGGGUAAUGGCCUACCAAGCCGACGAUCCAUAGCUGGUUUGAGAGGAUGAUCAGCCACACUGGGACUGAGACACGGCCCAGACUCCUACGGGAGGCAGCAGUGGGGAAUCUUAGACAAUGGGGGAAACCCUGAUCUAGCCAUGCCGCGUGAGCGAUGAAGGCCUUAGGGUUGUAAAGCUCUUUCAGCUGGGAAGAUAAUGACGGUACCAGCAGAAGAAGCCCCGGCUAACUCCGUG